rnacentral:rRNA from 3 species
CUGCGGCAGCGACACUGUGUGUUGUUGGGUAGGGGAGCGUUCUGUAAGCCUGUGAAGGUGUGUCGUGAGGCAUGCUGGAGGUAUCAGAAGUGCGAAUGCUGACAUAAGUAACGAUAAAGCGGGUGAAAAGCCCGCUCGCCGGAAGACCAAGGGUUCCUGUCCAACGUUAAUCGGGGCAGGGUGAGUCGACCCCUAAGGCGAGGCCGAAAGGCGUAGUCGAUGGGAAACGGGUUAAUAUUCCCGUACUUGGUGUUACUGCGAAGGGGGGACGGAGAAGGCUAUGUUGGCCGGGCGACGGUUGUCCCGGUUUAAGCGUGUAGGUGUGUGUUCCAGGUAAAUCCGGUUCACUUUAACACUGAGGCGUGACGACGAGGCACUACGGUGCUGAAGCAACAAAUGCCCUGCUUCCAGGAAAAGCCUCUAAGCAUCAGGUAACAUCAAAUCGUACCCCAAACCGACACAGGUGGUCAGGUAGAGAAUACCAAGGCGCUUGAGAGAACUCGGGUGAAGGAACUAGGCAAAAUGGUGCCGUAACUUCGGGAGAAGGCACGCUGACACGUAGGUGAAGUGAUUUACUCAUGGAGCUGAAGUCAGUCGAAGAUACCAGCUGGCUGCAACUGUUUAUUAAAAACACAGCACUGUGCAAACACGAAAGUGGACGUAUACGGUGUGACGCCUGCCCGGUGCCGGAAGGUUAAUUGAUGGGGUCAGCGCAAGCGAAGCUCCUGAUCGAAGCCCCGGUAAACGGCGGCCGUAACUAUAACGGUCCUAAGGUAGCGAAAUUCCUUGUCGGGUAAGUUCCGACCUGCACGAAUGGCGUAAUGAUGGCCAGGCUGUCUCCACCCGAGACUCAGUGAAAUUGAACUCGCUGUGAAGAUGCAGUGUACCCGCGGCAAGACGGAAAGACCCCGUGAACCUUUACUAUAGCUUGACACUGAACAUUGAGCCUUGAUGUGUAGGAUAGGUGGGAGGCUUUGAAGUGUGGACGCCAGUCUGCAUGGAGCCGACCUUGAAAUACCACCCUUUAAUGUUUGAUGUUCUAACGUGGACCCGUUACCCGGGUUGCGGACAGUGUCUGGUGGGUAGUUUGACUGGGGCGGUCUCCUCCUAAAGAGUAACGGAGGAGCACGAAGGUUGGCUAAUCCUGGUCGGACAUCAGGAGGUUAGUGCAAUGGCAUAAGCCAGCUUGACUGCGAGCGUGACGGCGCGAGCAGGUGCGAAAGCAGGUCAUAGUGAUCCGGUGGUUCUGAAUGGAAGGGCCAUCGCUCAACGGAUAAAAGGUACUCCGGGGAUAACAGGCUGAUACCGCCCAAGAGUUCAUAUCGACGGCGGUGUUUGGCACCUCGAUGUCGGCUCAUCACAUCCUGGGGCUGAAGUAGGUCCCAAGGGUAUGGCUGUUCGCCAUUUAAAGUGGUACGCGAGCUGGGUUUAGAACGUCGUGAGACAGUUCGGUCCCUAUCUGCCGUGGGCGCUGGAGAACUGAGGGGGGCUGCUCCUAGUACGAGAGGACCGGAGUGGACGCAUCACUGGUGUUCGGGUUGUCAUGCCAAUGGCACUGCCCGGUAGCUAAAUGCGGAAGAGAUAAGUGCUGAAAGCAUCUAAGCACGAAACUUGCCCCGAG